GGACUACAGGGGUAUCUAAUCCUGUUUGCUCCCCACGCUCUCGCGCCUCAGCGUCAGUAUCUGUCCAGGUAGCCGCCUUCGCCACUGGUGUUCCUUCCGAUCUCUACGCAUUUCACCGCUACACCGGAAAUUCCACUACCCUCUACAGUACUCCAGCUAGCCAGUCACAGCUGCAGUUCCUAGGUUAAGCCCAGGGAUUUCACAGCUAUCUUAACUAACCGCCUACGCGCCCUUUACGCCCAGUAACUCCGAUUAACGCUCGCACCCUCUGUAUUACCGCGGCUGCUGGCAC
rnacentral:rRNA from 1 species